GGCUACACACGUGCUACAAUGGGUAGUACAGAGAGUCGCAAAGCCGCGAGGUGGAGCUAAUCUCAGAAAACUAUUCUUAGUUCGGAUUGUACUCUGCAACUCGAGUACAUGAAGUCUGGAAUCGCUAGUAAUCGCGAAUCAGCAAUGUCGCGGUGAAUACGUUCUCGGGUCUUGUACACACCGCCCGUCACACCACGAGAGUUGGUUGCACCUGAAGUAGCAGGCCUAACCGUAAGGAGGGAUGCUCCGAGGGUGUGAUUAGCGAUUGGGGUGAAGUCGUAACAAGGUAUCCGUACGGGAACGU
rnacentral:rRNA from 1 species